GACGAACGCUGGCGGCGUGCCUAAUACAUGCAAGUAGGACGAGUUGCGAACGAGUGAGUAACGCGUAGGAACAUACCUAUUAGAGGGGGAUAACUGUUGGAACCGCUAGCUACUACCGCAUACUAGUAGAUGGACCUGCGUUGUAUUAGCUAGUUAGUGGGGUAAAGGCAUACCAAGGCGACGAUCCGUAACUGGUCUGAGAGGAUGAGCAGGAAAACUGGAACUGAGACACGGUCCAGACUCCUACGGGAGGCAGCAGUGGGGAAUAUUGGACAAUGGGCGAAAGCCUGAUCCAGCCAUGCCGCGUGUGUGAAGAAGGUCUUCGGAUUGUAAAGCACUUUAAGUUGGGAGGCGUUACCAACAGAAGAAGCACCGGCUAACUUCGUGCCAGCAGCCGCGGUAAUUC
rnacentral:rRNA from 1 species